rnacentral:rRNA from 1 species
UACGUAGGGUGCAAGCGUUUGUCCGGAAUUAUUGGGCGUAAAGAGCUCGUAGGCGGUUUGUCGCGUCUGCUGUGAAAUCUGGGGGCUCAACCCCCAGCCUGCAGUGGGUACGGGCAGACUAGAGUGCGGUAGGGGAGAUUGGAAUUCCUGGUGUAGCGGUGAAAUGCGCAGAUAUCAGGAGGAACACCGAUGGCGAAGGCAGGUCUCUGGGCCACUACUGACGCUGAGAAGCGAAAGCAUGGGGAGCGAACAGG